rnacentral:rRNA from 1 species
AUACAUGCAAGUCGAGCGAACUGAUUAGAAGCUUGCUUCUAUGACGUUAGCGGCGGACGGGUGAGUAACGCGUGGGCAACCUGCCUGUAAGACUGGGAUAACUUCGGGAAACCGAAGCUAAUACCGGAUAGGAUGUUCUCCUUCAUGGGAGAUGAUUGAAAGAUGGUUUCGGCUAUCACUUACAGAUGGGCCCGCGGUGCAUUAGCUAGUUGGUGAGGUAACGGCUCACCAAGGCAACGAUGCAUAGCCGACCUGAGAGGGUGAUCGGCCACACUGGGACUGAGACACGGCCCAGACUCCUACGGGAGGCAGCAGUAGGGAAUCUUCCGCAAUGGACAAAAGUCUGACGGAGCAACGCCGCGUGAGUGAUGAAGGCUUUCGGGUCGUAAAACUCUGUUGUUAGGGAAGAACAAGUACAAGAGUAACUGCUUGUACCUUGACGGUACCUAACCAGAAAGCCACGGCUAACUACGUGCCAGCAGCCGCGGUAAUACGUAGGUGGCAAGCGUUAUCCGGAAUUAUUGGGCGUAAAGCGCGCGCAGGCGGUUUUUUAAGUCUGAUGUGAAAGCCCACGGCUCAACCGUGGAGGGUCAUUGGAAACUGGGGAACUUGAGUGCAGAAGAGAAAAGCGGAAUUCCACGUGUAGCGGUGAAAUGCGUAGAGAUGUGGAGGAACACCAGUGGCGAAGGCGGCUUUUU